GGUUGUGGCUCAGUGGUAGAGCACUUGCCUCCCACAUGUGAGGCAUGGGUGCAAUCCUCAGAACCA
rnacentral:tRNA from 1 species